CUGCCUGUGAUUGAGACAACAGCAACCGUAAAAGGAAAAAAGGGGCGUAGCGUGAAUGCGAAAAAUUAGACGCACGACGUAUUGCUGUGAAACUCCGCCCCUUCCGCCUGUACGUUUUUCCUGCUGUCCUUAGUGUCAAUUAGAGGAGACAAGAUGGUUCCUCCUGUGCAAGUAUCUCCGCUCAUUAAGUUUACCAGGUAUUCUGCAUUGCUGGUUGGAGUAAUAUAUGGGAAGAAAAGAUAUGAUAAUUUGAAGCCUAUUGCUGAAGAGGAAAGGCGGAUAGAAGCUGAAGAGAAAAUUAAGCGUGAGGAAGCUGAACGAAUUGCUAAGGAGUUUGCAGCAGCAAAUGAAGACACCAUCUUGAAAUAAAUAUUCAAUCAAAAUCCAUCUCUUGCUUCUCAAGAACAUACAAAUGUUCAGUGGCUGGGAAAUAUACAUUGUAUGUUGAAGAUAUAAAAUAUGAAAAUUAAAAUCUAA